CGCAUGUAAUGAUAGAAACCAGAUGCAGCUGUGAAAUAGGCGAGAUGAGAACGUGUCGUGGGCGUCUAGUUAGAGAAAAAAAAUCUUGUGAAUUUCUAACAAGUCAUGCGCUCCAUAAUUGUGUUCACUUCCAGAACCUGUUGAUGUAGAACCAGUGACGAUGGAUUAUCAGUCAGAAUCAGUGAAGGCUGCUGAGACAGAAACAUGUCCUAACUCUACAGUGGAGGCUCCAACCCAGAGUAGUUGGAUGGGAAAAGUUUCCUCAGGAUUAUACAACAUUGGUGCUGGGGCUGUAGGAAUUGGGGUAGGGGGAGUUAAGUGGGCAGCUAACACAACAAUAUCUGUAGGAUCUGGUGUCAUUUCUGUUGGACAGAGUGCUGUGACCAAGGUGGCUUCUGCAAAUAAAAAACCAAAAAAAGACUGAAGUUUUUAGGGGUGUGCAUUAAAGAUUAGCUACAUACAUACAAGUAAUACACUUCUAUUUUUCCUACUAUAAUUGAAGUUAUCAAGUGAGGAGCAUUUUAUGUUACUUGUUUAUACAGAUUUGUUCUUUUUUUUUAAAAAAAAGGCAUGGCUUCACCAAUAGUAUAAGCUGGGUAGUAUUGCACACUGACUACUUACUCACAAUUGUACUUCUUGGGUUGAUGAAGCUAGACCUUGGCUUAGGUAUGAAUAUGGUUUAUGUAUGCAUUCAGUUGGGUGAAACAUUAACAUAGUUCUUCGUGAUUUUUUAUAUUUUUAGAGAGAACUCUGCUCUAUGUAAAGUGAGACCUAACAUAUUGUUAUUGAAAUAUCUCCAAUGAUGCCUUUAUACAAAAAAAAAACUACCAAGGCAGAUUAUAACCAUUAUCACAGAAGCAAAUAUGUCUCAGAGAAAAUCAAAAUCAAAUUUCCAUCAAUUAAACAAUUCUAUUGAAAGAUAAUAGAAAUGCUUGUGCAAUAACAUGCUUAAUUUUUCAUGUAUAUUAAGAACUUGGCUUUGUUGAAAUCCAUAUAUAACAAAUGUCUAGAUUAAAAACAUGACUAAUAUUACAAAAAACAAAGUUUGCCCAAUCAGAAAAACUGCCAUAUUGCUAGUCAGCUGAUCAAAACUGUUCUUGACUUUUCAUUUUAAAUGAAAUAAUAUUAGGACUUAAGACUGAUGAAUCUUGCUUAAAGUACCUUCAGUAAAAGAAUUCUCAAAAAAAAAAAAAUCAAACUUUUAUCUUUUUUUCUCUACAGAACUGUACUGAUUUUAUGGUUGUAAUGUGAUCAAUGUGUUUAUUUCAUUAUUUCUGCAUCAUGUGCAAGAUUCCACAUAUUACUGUCAUAGAUUAAUAUUUUGUAUUUCUGUUUUAUGGUUUAUUUAGCUGAAUAGUGCAAGUUUAAUUUCAAACACUUCCUAUUAAUAUUUGAAUAUGGAAUUUGGAUUUAAGUUUUGAUUCUAAUGUUAAAAUUGCCAAAGAUGAAAAUAAAAACAUAAAACGCU